AUUCAGUUCUUAAUAAGUGUUCAUUUCCUUGCCCUUUUCUCUCAUCUUAACAAUUACAGCACCUGUCUGAGGUGUGCAGUGAAGGUCAGAGGAGAUGAUGUUUGAGAGCAACAGAGCAUUUGUUUAGGCAAAGUAGGUUAUUUUUUAUGAUAAGAACAGACAUUUGUUAGAAAUAGAGUUCUCUACAUUGGUUUCUCUGAAAUUGCAAAACGACGAUGACUGGAUAUAUGGAAUUAACACGUGGCAUGCAAAGUCCUGGUUAAAAACAGAAAGUAACCAGCAUUCUCCGGGGCAUUGCCGGUUCGUAGAGCAUUGGCAUGGAAUCAUCCAUGCUUCCCUGGUGUGUGACUCCUGCCUAGAGGUGGCAGGACCUCCAACUCCCAGGCCUUUCUUGCCAUUUCUGGGAGGUCCUCAGAUUGCUGCACAUGUAUGCACAAAUCUUCCAUGGUCUGCCACAGGCCUCUUGCUGAUGUCACUUCCUGAGAUCCUAGGAUCUUUCUUGAGAAAACUGACCUCUGUGCCAGAGGUGCCGUUGCUUGGGUCUCCCAAAGUCACCUUCACUGGACCCAUCUCUGAGCCCUUCGCAGAGUCCU
rnacentral:lncRNA from 1 species